ACUCCCUGGCAAUGGGCAAAGAGACUCUUGGUGUUGUUCUUCUAUCAGCCAGGGGCAGGGCAGAGGGCAGUCUGCUUUGUUCAUCCUAGCUCAGUGACUGGCUUGGUGGCCAAAGCUGUUUCAUGCCUCAGGCACAUAA